CAUAUAAAACCUAUUCAAAUGGGUAAGGAAUCUUUAUUUUCUCUAAAAAAGUUAAACGCAAAACUAUAAGGAACGUUUGCUGUCACAUGCAACAUGUCAAUCAACACACACAAUGGUUGGCCUUCGAUAUUCGUAACCUUGUAAAUUAAAGUUAAUACUUUAUUAUAAACAAAGUAACAAUAAAAUUCAAAGCAGCUUUAUGUUUUCAUAUUAAAGAUGAGGCUGCUCCACGCAGUAGCUGUUGUGUUCACUAUGUUGUUGUUCUUUGUGCGAGAAAAAUACGUACUGGCCGGAGUAUGCCCUGUAAAAAACCGUCGCAUCGAUAUAGAACCAUGUUCAGAUGACGACACAGUUUCCAGUAUCAGUCCGAUGUCGUAUUCUGCAAAUAAUUUCAUUGCGCGCGCUCGAGUCAGUACUCACUCAAAGCCCAAAUAUAAACGAGACCCGGAAAUUGAAGUCGACAACGAAUAUAUCGGUGAACACCCGCAAGAAUUCAUCUAAUCACGAAAACUUAAAUUUUAUAACUAAUUAAAACAACAUUGUGAGAAAGCCAA